rnacentral:lncRNA from 1 species
AGGGGUGAGCGGGUCCAGGGUGGGUAGGGUCUAGACCUAGACCCUGUUCCCUACCCUGUUAUAACCGGUUCUCCUUUUUUGGACCCUGUUUUCAUUGGACCCUGUUCCCGGCCCACCCUGUUUUUCCAGUCCGGGAAUAGGGUUGACCCUGUUUAUGUUUAUCUAUUGAAACAAAAAGGCCGGACCAAGCACAUCCUUCGACCAAACUCAUUGGGAACAUGUAUA